rnacentral:tRNA from 22 species
CGGAUGUGGCUCAGUUGGUAGAGCAUCACCUUGCCAAGGUGAGGGUCGCGGGUUCGAGUCCCGUCAUCCG